AGGGGCUUCAGCCCCCUCAGUAUUGGUGGGCAGGGGGUUGAGGGCCCCCCCCCCCCAAAUUGAGGGGGCUGAGGUUCGA